AAUCAACGCUGGCGGCGUGCCUAACACAUGCAAGUCGAACGAGAAAGUCCCGCAAGGGAUGAGUAAAGUGGCGACCGGGUGAGUAACACGUGACUAACCUACCUUCGAGUGGGGAAUAACCUCGGGAAACCGGGGCUAAUACCGCAUAACAUCGCGAGGUGAGAUUCCUUGUGAUCAAAGGAGCAAUUCGCUUGAAGAGGGGGUCGCGGCUGAUUAGCUAGUUGGUGAGGUAACGGCNCACCAAGGCGAUGAUCAGUAUCCGGCCCUGAGAGGGCGGCACGGACACACUGGAACUGAAACACGGUCCAGACUCCUACGGGAGGGCAGCAGUGGGGAAGUUUU
rnacentral:rRNA from 1 species